rnacentral:tRNA from 1 species
GGGACUAUAGUUAACCAUAACAUUUGAGUUGCAUUCAAAAAGUACUACUUAAAGUAGUUAGCCUCA